rnacentral:rRNA from 1 species
CCUACGGGAGGCAGCAGUGGGGAAUAUUGGACAAUGGGGGAAACCCUGAUCCAGCGACGCCGCGUGUGUGAAGAAGGCCUGCGGGUUGUAAAGCACUUUUAGUGGGGAUAAAAAGCUCAGGGCUAAUAACUCUGGGUCUUGAUCUAACCCAAAGAAAAAGCACCGGCUAACUCUGUGCCAGCAGCCGCGGUAAUACAGAGGGUGCAAGCGUUAAUCGGAAUUACUGGGCGUAAAGCGUGCGUAGACGGUUAUCUAAGUCGGAUGUGAAAUCCCCGGGCUCAACCUGGGAAUUGCAUUCGAGACUGAAUAGCUAGGGUGCGGAAGAGGGAAGCGGAAUUUCCGGUGUAGCAGUGAAAUGCGUAGAUAUCGGAAGGAACAUCAGUGGCGAAGGCGGCUUCCUGGUCCAGCACCGACGUUCAGGCACGAAAGCGUGGGGAGCAAACAGGAUUAGAUACCCUGGUAGUCCACGCCAUAAACGAUGAGAACUAGACGUUGAGAGGGUUACGCCUCCACGUGUCGUAGCGUACGACGCUAACGUUACUCCGCCGUCGGGGAGGUACGGCCGGCCGAACGGUUAGGUAAACGUUAAACGGUAAAGUUAGUACGGCGUGAGACGUGCCGACGGACGACGACGAGGGAGGUUAGG